rnacentral:lncRNA from 1 species
AAAUAUAUUGUUACAAAUUGUGACACACACAAUAAAUCAUCUAAGUCGACUUCUCUAAAAAAAAAAAUUUAAAUUUCUAUAUUAAUUAAUUAAAGUGGAUUGAAGUGACACGAUAAUACUUGAUUAGAUUUUAGAAUAAUUCACUCGAUAAACAAAGACUAAUGAGAUAUCAAGUCUUACCAAACUUUCAGAAAAACUCC